ensembl:misc_RNA Metazoa_SRP Metazoan signal recognition particle RNA
GCCAGGUGUGGUGGCACACACCUGUAGUCCCAGCUACUUAGGAGGCUGAGGUAGGAGGAUUGCUUGAGCCCAGGAGAUUGAGGCUGCAGUGAGCUGUGAUCGUGCCACUGCACUCCAGCCUGGACAACAGAACAAGACCCUGUCUCAA